UCCGGAGUAGCUCAGCGGUAGCAGCGUCGGUCUGUUAAACCGAAUGUCGUUGGUUCGAUCCCAACCUCCGGAGCCA
rnacentral:tRNA from 1 species